CUUUGAGCCAUGAGUCUUGAAAUCCGAAAAGUUUGAGCCAAAAUCGGUUAGAUCCGAAAACUUGUAACCGAAAUCCUUCAAAUUCGAAUACUUUUGGUCCGAAAUCAUUAUUCAUGGUACUCAGGCUAAUCAGGGAUAAAGACUGCUAUGCUAGGCUUGGACUUCGGAGAUUAGUGCUCCUCUAUUUAUUGUCAGACUUUAAAGCUACAUGCCUUUGAUUCUUUCUUUAUGGAUCUGGUUGUAAUAAGUUAUUUUAGCACUGUUAUGACUUUGAACUCAUGUUUUUGGGAAUGUAUUCACUAUAUUCCAUUUCA